AGAUGCAUGAAGAGCGAGGUGUACAUAUCAGUGAAAAAGUUGACAGAUUAUGUGAAGAAAUUGACCGAAUGAAAAACAUCUAUGAUUUUGGAACAAAUUUUAAAACUUUUAUCAGUGAGAUAUUUCAAAGUGAAUUUAAUUUACUUUUUGUUAAAAUCCAAGAAGAAAUGUCCGUAUUGAGAAAAGAAAUAGUGGAUAUAAAACAUUCGAUUCAACAGGUUAGGAUAGUGUCAGAUAUGGAGAUUAUCGACGGGCCUAGUACGAGUGUCAAUAAAUCCGAAAUAAUCAAUAAUGAUGACGUAUAUCCAGUGACAGACCACAAUGUAACCUCCAAAACAUUUGAGACAAAAGUACACGACUCAGUCAUAAUAGUAAAACCAACGGGUAAUGUAAGCUCGGAAGUGACAGAGUCUGCGGUAAAAAAUAAUAUAAAUAUUGCAGAUCUUGCCAUUGAUGUGCGUGCAUUUAAAAAAGCAUCAAGAGGAAAACUUUUCAUCGAUUGCAGGGAUCAGACGCAGAAAAAGAAAUUGAUUGAUGUGAUGAGUGAACAAUUGCUGGGGGAAUACAAAGUGAUAACUCCAAAGCAUUAUAUAUCAAAACUAAAAGUCACCAACGUGGACAUUGAGUAUGAUAAGAAAACAAAUGACGAAUUGAGCAGUAUAAUUGUAAAACAGAAUAAGUUUGACGUGAGCUCUGAUCAGAUAAAAGUGAACGUAAAAGAUAAAUGGGUGAUAGAAAAAUAUAAGAAAAUGACCAUUAUAAUUGAAGUGAAUGAAAAUAUGCAUUGCAAAAUCCUUGAAAAGGGGUAUUUAAAAUUAGGUUGGAAUAGAUGUAAGGUUACUGAAUACGUCAAUUGUAUACAUGAAUGCGAGAAGUUUACUGAGAAAUAUAAAUGAGAUACGAGAACUAAUAAUUGAUCAAAAAAAUCCUGCGGUAUUAGUUCUGACAGAGACUAGAUUAACAAGUAAAAUAGAUGAACAUGAAAUUUGUAUACCAGGUUAUCAAAUACUGAUGCGAUUCUGAGAAACGGACAAUGGGAGGUGUAAUGAUGUAUAUUCAUAGGGACGUGCAAUAUAAAUUAGUUGUAAAUAAAAGAAUUGUAAAUAAUUGUUGGUCAAUUGGAAUCAAAAUUAAACCCGAGAAAUUCAAUGGGGUUCUCAUAGCAACGUACCACUCGCCAAGCGCCAAGACAUCAGACUUUAUAGAUUAUAUAGAAGACAUAUGUGAAAAUUUUAAAAAUGAAUACAAUUGUAUCUGUGUGGGAGAUUUUAACAUUGGUAUCAGUAAGAAUUCAUACUAUUCCCGUAAAUUUUUGUGUGCUUUUGCAGGACUCGGGAUGAAACAGUAUGUGAAUGAACCAACCAGAAUGAAUGAAAUAUCAUCUACUACCAUUGAUCUGUUAUUUUGUAAUAAUCAAAUAAAUCCAAGAGUGAUUAAGGACUUGCAGAUAACAGAUCAUGCUGUAAUUGAAUUCGACUUGGAACUAGAGCGAACUAAAAACCUGAAGCGAAGAACCUUGCAACGUAAUUUUAACCAUUUUAAUGGUGAAUUAUUUCGAGAAAGACUGGCUGGGGAAAUGAGUGAGCUUAGGAACAUUACCCAAUAUGGACAAAUACGUUAUCAAAACAAAGAGUUCUGAAAGUCCGGACUCUGACAAAACUACAAAAAACGCAAAGGUCACAUCUUCAACAGUUUCAGCAAAGCGGAAAUACAAUGAUGAAUACAUAGAGUUUGCUUUCAUUCCGUCCAAAGAAGAUAAUUCUUUGCCCGUUUGCAUGUUGUGUUCUACAACUCUUUCCAAUGAAGCGAUGGUUCCGAGUAAACUUAGACGACAUUUUGAAAAAAAACAUCCAUUGUACAUAAACAAGGAGAAAUCUUAUUUCGAGAACCUUCGUUCACAAUUAUACAACCAAGCCAAACGAUUCAAAAAUUUAUGUACGGUACCAGAAAAAGCUCAAAUCGCAAGCUAUGAAAUUGCCCAACUAUUAGCAAAAAAGAAAAAGCCUCAUGCUGAUGCUGAAAAUAUCAUUUUGCCUUCGUUGGAGAUAGCUGUUAAAGCCAUGAUUGGAACACAAGCUGUUGAACGUGUAAAAGUAAUACCGUUAUCAGGUGAUACAAUUGCGCGUAGAAUUCAAAGUAUGUCCGAUGAUAUUGAACUACAACUCAAAGAGCAUUUUGCGAAUAAUCAAGACAAAAUGUCGAAUUUAUGGGCUCUUCAAGUCGACGAAUCUACCGAUAUUAGUAAUAAAGCUCAACUAUUAGCAUUCCUCCGUAUUAUUAAAGACGGAUCGAUUCAAAAUCAGUUUUUCUUUUGUUCGGAGCUGAAGCAAACUACCACAGGACAGGACGUUUUCGAACUGGUAAAUACAAAUAUUGAAUCAAGAGGAAUUAAAUGGGAAAACUGUAUCAGUGUCUGUACCGAUGGCGCACCUUCAAUGCAAGGCCGCAAAAAAGGAUUCGUCGCUCAUGUGUUGAAAAUUAAUCCGAAUGUGAAAAUUGUGCAUUGUAUGAUUCAUCGAGAGGUUUGGUAACCAAAUCCCUUCCAGAAAAACUUUGCCAAACAUUGAAGGAAGUCAUUAAGAUCGUCAACUAUAUUAAGUCAAACGCACUCCGAACAAGAAUUUUUGCAUCAUUAUGUGAAGCAAUGGAAUCCGAUCAUAAAGGUUUGUUGUAUCAUACUGAAGUGAGGUGGCUCUCGAAAGGAAAAGUUCUCGAACGAGUGAUACUUUUGCGAGCAGAAAUUGUUUCAUUUUUCGAGACAGACAAUACUGAUAAAGUCGAUUUUCUGCAUGACGAUAUUGGUGGCUUGAAGUUUCGUUCCUGAAUGACAUUUUUGAAAAAUUGAAUAAACUGAAUAUGAGCAUCCAAGGAGCCAAGGAAAACAUCAUUAGCAUUACCGGAAAACUCAAGGCUUUUGAAGAAAAACUGAAACUGUGGUUGCAAAAAUCUAAAAAUUUGCAAUUUGACUUUCUUCCAACUGUCAAUACAUCAACAAUUAAACAUAAAAUAUCAAAAGAAAUUCAAACUACAUUUGAAAAUCUGUCCUCUUCAUUCGUCAAAUAUUUUCCAUCUCUGAAUUCGAAAAAAGACGAAUGGGUGGUCAACCCCUUUGUAGGUUGCACGGACAGCUCAUUCUCAAUAAAAGAAGAAGAGGAUUUUAUCGACCUGAAAAAUGAUUUGGUGCACAAAGCUUCUUUCGCAGAACUCGAGUUAUCAACGUUUUGGAUCUCUCUUCAAAAUCAAUAUCCAGAAUUGAGCAUGAAAGCUCUUCGAAGUUUGUUACCAUUUGGCUCCUCUUAUCUCUGCGAAAUUGCAUUUUCUUCAUUGACUGAAAUUAAAUCUAAAAAACGUGAGCGACUUCAGAUGAUUGAUGGAGAGAUGCGAGUGUGUUUGACUAACUUCGAACCACGAAUAAUGCAAAUUUGUUCCCAGAAACAAGCCCAUCCAUCACAUUAAGCUUAAAAUAAAAAUAUUUUCCUUUCUAUUGUACCAAAUAUUAAUUAAUGUACCUAUUUGUAAAACAAAUUUUUUAAAUUAUUUUUAAAUAUACGUUUUCUUCCGAAAAUUUAUUUAGCUUAGUGUGCCGCGGAAAAAAAAUCCUCAGUUAGCGUGCCGCAGACUAAAAAAGUUUGCGAGACACUGAUGUAGCGGGUACCUCGUGGGCCGAAUGUUUUCACGAUGGCACUCGAACUACGAUACAACCGAUGUUUUUGGGUUGGGUUGUAUGAGGUGUUGGUUUACAGAUGUAAACAAACCCGAGGAUAAAGCACUGUCCGAAAACUGUCCGAAACCAAUUAACACGCACAAGACUUAGAAAAUUCCCGAAUGUCCCGAGUCCGUGGGAAUGGUCAAGCGAACCCCUAAUGCACGUUUUAAUUAGCACGAGGCGAAUUUUCCGCUGGAUUUUUACCGGUUUUUUUUUCACAACACUCCCGUUCCGGCCCCCGAUCCGGCUCGAAGGACCAAUGUUUGGAAUUAGAAUAUUUUUCCGAUGGACGUGGUUGGGGGCGGGAUUUGUUAUGGGGAGAAUAAUUAUAAAUGUAUUAUGGGGUUUUGGUUUUUAUUAAAAAAUAAAUAAGCGAUGGUAAUUACCGGUAAACUACAACCGAAACACCGUUGGUUUAAUUGUCCGACCGGUGGGUGAAUAUAACAAUGAUGAAAAUUAACCGUACAAAAAAACACUAAAGAUUUGGUCGUAUGGGUCGUUCCACUGGCAAAAAAAGACGAAGACUGAGGCUGAUGUGACGAAUGGGUCAGCCAGUCUCGUCGGUGACCCGAGGUCAACCGAAUUUGGCCGACGAGGCUGAUUGCCCCCCGUCUUCAGAUUUAAAUCUGAACACGGUCAAUUUUACAAUGUCGGAAAAGAACUAAAAUAUAUGACAUGCUGGAAGCGUUAGGGAUGAUGAGUGUGGAACAACGAAUAAAGCUAAAUGUGCUGAAAUAUAUACGGAAAAUGAUGGUGAAAAAUGUAAGUAGUAAUGUAGUCGAUAAGGAAAAUAGUCGAGCCACAAGACAAAGACAGAAUAUUGUGAAUGAUAGAAUGAAGUUGACUUUCGGCCAAAAUGAUGUGAUGUAUGAAGGCAUUAAAUUAUACAACGGAUUGCCGCAGGAGAUAAAGAAAUUGAACGAUUCCGGGUUUAAGCGAGAAGUUGCGAAAUUCGUGAAGAUGAACUAUAAGUUAUGAUGGAGCGAGGAAUCGCAAUGUAAAUGAUGUAGGGAAAAAGCUAAAUAAAGACAAUCAAUCAAUCUCUUUAUCCCGUCUAAACCCUUUCUGUCAUUCGCAUCAGUCCUCUACUAAAAUACCCCCUCCCUUGCUCAUUUUCCUAUUUAUAUAAAAUUAAUGUGUUUUUAUUUUCCUUUUGUUUCCGGCCGGAGCCCCUUGGGAGGGAGGUGUUGGGCGGGACACCCCGAGAGCGCGGUGGGUCCGCGCUCUGAGGCGUGAGGCGCGUGGCCUGGAGGCCGACGGCGAGCACGUGCUCGCCCUAUACGACGUCGAGGAUGCCUGGGCCCUCAGGAUCCUCGGGGAGGAGCCCGCCCAGCCCGACCUG